UAUUUCCUAAACUGCCCAUCUUUUCAUCAAUCUCUGGUUUUCUGACAUGAUUACAGUCUGGUAUUUUAGUCUUGUGUUCGACAACUGAAGGUGUUGCAUUGACGCUGAGAAUUGAAUCAGAAUGUUGGAUAUCAAAUUAUUCGUGUUUUGUCUGGUUGUUCUACUGCUUGUAUUGACGGGAACAGCAAUGGCCCCGCCACCCCCACCGCCGCCACCAAUGCACCACCAUCAAAACUUUUUUGAAAAUGAUCCGGAUUUGCUGGAAACUUGGUGAAUUUUGGACUGGGAGCUUAACUACGAUAUUUUCAUGCUGCAAGUGGAGCAUAUUUUAAUAAAGAACAUAAUGUAAUAAAGCAAGUUAUGUGCAAUGUGUUUCCAAUAUGAGGUUUAUGUGUUAAACGCGGUAGAGUCUGCGCAUAUUGCUAGGCGUCGGGAACAGUUUUAUCUUUGCGCCACUGAUCACACUUACGUGGGUUUGGUUGAAAUUCGUUUCGUGGCUGAGUUGAGUAUGUGCUAGAAGAUAUUGAAGCAAAAUAUUGAUCACUUGUCAAACGCAGUAACAUAUCCUGUUUGCCCCGAUUUGACAAGAUGAAAAGAGUUGGGUAUUUCCUUUAAACUAUCAAUCUUAUCUGCCCUGUUUCUUCUAUCAGUAAAUGUUAGAACCUGGUAAUAAUGAACGCAUUUUCGUCUCAACUAGACUGCGUUGACGCUGUGAACAGAAGCAGAACUCAAAGAAAAAAUGAUGAAUUCCAAACUAUUCGUGUUUUGUCUGAAAGUUAUGGUUAUCGCUUUGAUGGUGGUAGCAGUGGCUCCGCCUCCAAUGCACCAUUUUUACCACCACCAACAUACCUUUAUUUCAGUUAUUGAAGAUGGACCUGAUACCUUAGAAGUUAGGUGAAUUGCGAUCUGACACCUGAAAUACGAUAUUAUAUUUGGUGCAUGUUUAAGGUGAUAUAUAUACUGGAGAGGAUAUGUAAUAAAUGGAAGCUACGUGUCGUGUGUUUGAUUUUUGAAUAUUAUAUAUACUUAUACGAAUGAAUAUAAUAUAUUAUACUUCAGUACA